CAGGUGACUCGGAGUCUGGGGAAAGAAGUAAAAUGCAAAUACUGUGCUAUUCACAUGUGGGAGCUGAGAUCUGUGGGCCGAGGACCCAGAACGCCAAAGCACAACUGUUUUCUUGUAAGGCACAAAUAAGGACCCCAGCAGUGACUCUGCCUCAUUAACUGUAUUACAGGAGGAAAAGCUUCUUUCACAUAUCCCCGAGUGAGCACAUGACUUAUAAAUUACGUGUAUAAUGAAUUUAGUGUGUGUGUGAGCGGGUGUGGAGGUCAAAAGAUGACUUACGGGAAUUAGAUCUCAUCUUCCACCAUGUGGAUUUGAGAUCAAACUCAGGUCUUCUUGGCAGCAGGAAUACUUAUCUGCCACUUAGCUGGUCCACAAUAUUUUCUUAAGUAACAACACUGCAGAGAUGCUAUUAAGUGUAGAAAAGUUAUACAAAACCCCACAAUGCCUGCAGAGUAGGGUGGACAUUACCCUGAGGUGUUGAGACUAUCUAACUAUAUAUUCAACCAGUACUAUGUCUUUAUGGCUGAAGAGGGCAAUAACUAGAACUUAAGGAAUCUAUAUAUUUCAGCAGAUUGCUAUACAAUGAAAGGGGUAAAUAUUUUCAAUACACAAAUCCAUGAAGAAAUGUUUCAAGUAAGCAGACAUGUUUUCCAAAGAGCUUCUGAUGUGAUGUUGGCCAGUACUGAUGUUUAUCUUAAACACUAGAAAAUAUCACAGGAAAAGAAAUAAAACACAACUCCAUGUUAAUUUCCCCAAGCUCUUAUACUGCACUUGUUUAUGAAAUAUGCAUUCAUUUACUAUACCACAUCUAAGUGUUAUGUAAAAGCCCACCUGAUGACAAGACAUUACUCUUCUGGCCAUCUCUCUCUCUGUGUCUCUGUGUGUGUAUGUGUCUGUAUGUGUGUGUCUGUGUGUGUGCGUGUCUGUGUGUGCGUGUCUGUGUGUGUGUGUCUGUGUGUGCACACAUGUGAAUGGAGGCCUGACGUUUAUGUCGUGUCUUUUCUACACCACACUCCACUGUAUUUACUUUACUGAGGCUGACCCUGGUACUAGCCAAUUCUGGCGUGUCUAGCUAGCCAGCUUGCCCAGGGAUCUCCUGUCUGCCUCUGGAGUGCUGUGAUUACAGGUGGCUGAUAAGGCACCCAGGAUUUUUGUUGUUGUUACUGCUGUUGGUUUAACUUAUUUGUUUGGUAUGUUUAUUUGUUUCUUGUGUUUGUUUGACAGAGGCCAGCAAGGGAGAUCAGAUCAUCUAGCACUGGAGUUACAGCAGUUGUGAGCCUCCAUUUGGAUGCGAGGAAUCAAACCAAGAUCCUCUGGAAGAGCAGCCAGCAUCCUAAACCACUGAGCCAGCCAUCUCUCCAGACCCAACCACCCAAUUUUUCCAAUGGCUUCUCAAGAUCCAAACUUCAGUCCUCAUACUUCAUAGCAAACAAUUUAUCCACUGAUUCAUCCUCCCAACCAUGUCCUGAUCACUUUUUAAAAAUCAGUGCUGCUGUCAGUCUUCAUCAGAGGCUUCUUUCGCAUGGAUGGCAGUUAAUGCAAAUUCAUAACUGGUCCAAGUGCUGAGAAGUGACUAUUGGUUGCUUGGCCCUAAAAUCUCUAUCAGUCACACCAAGGCUCAGGCACCACAGAGAAGAUGGGGGGAAGAAUGUAAAAACCCACGGGUGGAGAGGGGCGCAGCAAGACAAAGUCUCUGGACAUCAUCAAGACAGAAAAGAGCAAGAAAAGAAGAGCUCAGAGGAAGAGGAUGAUGAUGAAUGUGUGUUCCGAGUGGUCUUUUCUUGUCAAUAAAGCAUUUAACCUCCUGUGUAAAACUCAUUCCUUUUAAGGAGAAACAGUGAAAUGUGAAACUGUGAGAUUUGUUUUUAAGACUUUAGAGGUAGCUCAGUGGUUAAAAGCAUUGGCUGCUCUUCCAGAGGAUCCAGAUUUGAUUCUCAGCAUCUACAUAAUGGCUCACAACCAUCAGAAACUCCAGUUCCAGGGGACCUCACACCCUCCCUCUUCUAGGCUCUGAGGGCACUAGGCAUGUAGGUAGUGCACAAACAUACAUACAGGUAACCACAUGUAAACAAAUAUAUUUCUUAAAAGAUUUGUUUUUAAACUGUACAGCAAAAUAUUUUUGUACAGUUAACACACUACCAAAUGUGUUUAGGUAACCCUGUCCUGGUAGCAUUUUUAAUACCCACUAACCUUCCCUGUAUGGGGACUGUGAAUUGGCAUGGGAAUUUACCUCAGGUU
rnacentral:lncRNA from 1 species